rnacentral:rRNA from 1 species
AACGAACGCUGGCGGCAUGCCUAACACAUGCAAGUCGAACGAGACCUUCGGGCCUAUUGGCGCACGGGUGCGUAACGCGUGGGAACCUGCCCUUAGGUUCGGAAUAACUCCCCGUAAGGUGUGCUAAUACCGGUUAAGCUCUUCCGACCAAAGAUCUAUCGCCGUUGGAUGGGGCCGCGUUGGAUUAGCUGGUUGGUAGGGUAAAAGCCGACCAAGGCCACGAUCCAUAGCUGGUCUGGGAGCAUGCUCAUCCGCACUGGGAAUGCGACACGGCCCAGACUGCGACGGGAGGGAGCAGUAGGGAAUAUUGGACAAUGGGCGAAAGUCUGAUCCAGCAAUGCCGCGUGAGUGAUGAAGGCCUUAGGGUUGUAAAGCUCUUUUACCCGGGAUGAUAAUGACAGUACCGGGAGAAUAAGCACCGGCUAACUCCGUG